ACAGUUAACCAGGGCACGCCCUGAGAAGGGACAGGGUUGGGGCUACAGCCUUGGUAUUGGGAAGGUUCAGUUCUUCACCCUAUAUUGAACUUUCUUAUGAGGUCAAGAUGUGUAGAUGAAGGUUCUGGUCUGAGAUCUUAAAAAGGGAGAAGUCUAAUAUCACCCACACAUUCCUGUCUUCUUUCCUUCAACUGUGCCCUCAUACUGGCUCCUUGAUCUGAGUUAUAUCUAUCCUAUUCAAGUAGGAGCCUCUGAAACUCUCUCUCAAUCCCUGGACAAGAUCGUCCUUCUCUUCUUAGCCCCAUGUGAACUGUGAGCUCCAGAAGGAAAAGACCCUGUGCGCCUCAUCUCUCAGUUCUGGGCUUGGCAUUCAGCAGGCAUUUGAUAGAGGUUGGCUAACUGAACGACAGUGUGUAAGAAGAUGCUGAGUAAUCUAAAAGAAGAGGCAGCGUCUUACUGUUACCCAGACUACAGUGCAAUGGCAUGAUUAUAGUUCACUGCAGCCUCAACCUCCUGGCUCAAGCGAUCCUCCUGCCCUUAACCUCCUGAGUAGCUGGGACUACAGGUAUGUGCCACCAUGCCCAGCUAAUUUUUUAAAUUUCUUAUUUGUACAGGUGGGGUCUUGCUAUGUUGCCCAGGUUGGUCUUGAACUCUUGGCCUCAAGGGAUCCUCCCAUCUUGGGCUCCCAAAGUUGAUGGGAUUAGAGAUGUGAG
rnacentral:lncRNA from 1 species